UUCGACCUUUUACCAAAAACAUAGCUUCUGGAAUUUAUAAGAAGUUUCGUCUGCCCAGUGACCUAGUUUAACGGCCGCGAAAGUGCUAAGGUAGCAUAAUCAUUUGCCUUUUUAUUGGAGGCUAGUAUGAAUGGAUUAACGAGGCUAAACUGUCUCUAAUUGUAUAAUUAACUUGAUUUUUAGGUGAAAAAUCCUAAAUUUUAGUGAAGGACGAGAAGACCCUAUAGAGUUUGUAGUAAAAUUUAUUAACAAUCCACACAUAAAAUAUACUUUUAUUGGGGCAAUAUGAGAACAAUAAAACUCUUUAACAAUAUAGAUCCUCAAAGAGAAAAAAGAUAAACUACCUUAGGGAUAACAGCGUUAUUCUUCCAAAGAGAUCUAAUCGAAGGAAGAGUUUGCGACCUCGAUGUUGGACUAAGGAAGCCUCUAGGUGCAGAAGCUUAGAAGGCAGGCCUGUUCGGCCUUUAAUCCCUUACAUGAUUUGAGUUCUUUCCGUA
rnacentral:rRNA from 1 species